AGCGAGAGGAGGCGCCGCGUGCGUCCAGCGCUCUCUGGAUCUGCAGCCCCUUCGCGCCGGGAGCAUCGCUGCCCCCGCAUGCCGCAGGACUUCUCAUUCCCAAGCCUUGGCCGAAUGGAGGAGGAGGAGGCAGUGAGGAAGAUGCCCCGGGAGCCCCAGGCAGGCACUGAGCUGCAGAUGGAGACCAGGGAGGACAAACCCCUGUGGCAGAACCUCAUGGAAGAGGCUGCUUUGAGUGGCUCAAUGGCACAGGAAUCACACGGGGAGGAAAAGCCAGAGGGA